UGGGGAAUAUUGGACAAUGGGCGCAAGCCUGAUCCAGCCAUGCCGCGUGAGUGAUGAAGGCCCUAGGGUUGUAAAGCUCUUUCACCGGUGAAGAUAAUGACGGUAACCGGAGAAGAAGCCCCGGCUAACUUCGUGCCAGCAGCCGCGGUAAUACGAAGGGGGCUAGCGUUGUUCGGAUUUACUGGGCGUAAAGCGCACGUAGGCGGACUUUUAAGUCAGGGGUGAAAUCCCGGGGCUCAACCCCGGAACUGCCUUUGAUACUGGGAGUCGUGAGUAUGGUAGAGGUGAGUGGAAUUCCGAGUGUAGAGGUGAAAUUCGUAGAUAUUCGGAGGAACACCAGUGGCGAAGGCGGCUCACUGGGCCAUUACUGACGCUGAGGUGCGAAAGCGUGGGGAGCAAACAGG
rnacentral:rRNA from 1 species